rnacentral:rRNA from 1 species
GACGGAGGGUGCAAGCGUUGUUCGGAAUUACUGGGCGUAAAGCGCGGGCAGGUGGUCUUUUAAGUCCUUUGUGAAAUCCCGGGGCUCAACUCCGGAUGUGCAUAGGAUACUGGAAGACUGGAGACUGGUAGAGGCGAGCGGAAUUCCUGGUGUAGCGGUGGAAUGCGUAGAGAUCCGGAAGAACACCGGAGGCGAAGGCGGCUUGCUGGGCGUGAUCUGACGCUGAGGCGCGAAAGCGUGGGGAGCGAACAGG